GCGGCGCGAGCCCUGGGCGGCCGGCGCACGCGCGGUGCGGCGGCGCGAGCCCUGGGCGGCCGGCGCACGCGCGGUGCGGCGGCGCGAGCCCUGGGCGGCCGGCGCACGCGCGGUGCGGCGGCGGGCAAGAUGGCGGCGAGCAGGGCGGGUGUUUUGGCUGGACGGCGGCGGGCGAGGGCAGAGGCGGGCUGGAGUCGAGCAUGUGGGGGCCGCGGUGAGGCGAGGGUAGCCCACCGAAGGGGGACAUCUCGAAGAGAAGCAGCAAGACCUGGGGAUCCGGUGGUUCAUUUUGGUCGUCGCCUGUGAGGCCAGCAUGCAAGAGUAAGAGGAAGCUAGGAGCAGUCUCAAAAAGAGAUGGAACCGAGGACAGCAAAUGCUGACGAGGAGAAGAGACGGACGAGCGUUUGCUUGCGGUUAAUACCGAAGGGACGGGAUGAAACAAGGAAGCCAGAAUGCAGCGGCCCCUCGAUAUCACCAGGAACUGCUACAGGAGGAGGCGUUCUGGCACAGGUAACUAGGAUUAAUUGCCACGGCUGAAGUUGAAGAGACCAAGAAACGUAAGCCCCGAAGGGGCACAUCUUGAAGAGAGGGGGCUAGACCUAGCGAUCCAGUUGUUCGUUUUGGUCGUCGCCUGUGAGGCCAGCAUGCAAGAGUAAGAGGAAGCUAGGAGCAGUCUCAAAAAGGUAAUAGGUUUGAAAGGGAGACAGGCAAAUCGAGGGCUGUCAUUCCUCCACGUAGUUAAAGACCGAGAGAGUUGUCGGUUAAGCGCAUGCAUACGAGGGUUUGCGAACAGUACCAAUAACACUGAAGCGGAAUAAAAAUAAGGUUUCGUGGAAGAUGGCGUUAGGAAGGUAUUAGGCGACGUGCCCGCCUGCCUAAUAACCUAGCCCUAAUUGCUGUGUGUAACGUUUCCAGACCGUUUACCCUGCAACGUAUGGUGCAAAGUGCCGUAUUAAGACCUUUCCCUUAAGGAAAAGAAGAAGGAAAAAAGGGGGAAAAAGAAAACAGGGUAAAGAGAAAAAGAUCAUGCAUAAACCUAAGCGUUUCACUGGAAGUAAAACGCGAGUUUAUCGCUUCCUUACAGAGAUGGAACCAAGGACAGCAAAUGCUGACGAGGAGAAGAGACGGACGAGCGUUUGCUUGCGGUUAAUACCGAAGGGACGGGAUGAAACAAGGAAGCCAGAAUGCAGCGGCCCCUCGAUAUCACCAGGAACUGCUACAGGAGGAGGCGUUCUGGCACGGGUAACUAGGAUUAAUUGCCACGGCUGAAGUUGAAGAGACCAAGAAACGUAAGCCCCGAAGGGGCACAUCUUGAAGAGAGGGGGCUAGACCUAGCGAUCCAGUUGUUCGUUUUGGUCGUCGCCUGUGAGGCCAGCAUGCAAGAGUAAGAGGAAGCUAGGAGCAGUCUCAAAAAGGUAAUAGGUUUGAAAGGGAGACAGGCAAAUCGAGGGCUGUCAUUCCUCCACGUAGUUAAAGACCGAGAGAGUUGUCGGUUAAGCGCAUGCAUACGAGGGUUUGCGAACAGUACCAAUAACACUGAAGCGGAAUAAAAAUAAGGUUUCGUGGAAGAUGGCGUUAGGAAGGUAUUAGGCGACGUGCCCGCCUGCCUAAUAACCUAGCCCUAAUUGCUGUGUGUAACGUUUCCAGACCGUUUACCCUGCAACGUAUGGUGCAAAGUGCCGUAUUAAGACCUUUCCCUUAAGGAAAAGAAGAAGGAAAAAAGAAAAAAAAGGGGGAAAAAGAAAACAGGGUAAAGAGAAAAAGAUCAUGCAUAAACCUAAGCGUUUCACUGGAAGUAAAACGCGAGUUUAUCGCUUCCUUACAGAGAUGGAACCAAGGACAGCAAAUGCUGACGAGGAGAAGAGACGGACGAGCGUUUGCUUGCGGUUAAUACCGAAGGGACGGGAUGAAACAAGGAAGCCAGAAUGCAGCGGCCCCUCGAUAUCACCAGGAACUGCUACAGGAGGAGGCGUUCUGGCACGGGUAACUAGGAUUAAUUGCCACGGCUGAAGUUGAAGAGACCAAGAAACGUAAGCCCCGAAGGGGCACAUCUUGAAGAGAGGGGGCUAGACCUAGCGAUCCAGUUGUUCGUUUUGGUCGUCGCCUGUGAGGCCAGCAUGCAAGAGUAAGAGGAAGCUAGGAGCAGUCUCAAAAAGGUAAUAGGUUUGAAAGGGAGACAGGCAAAUCGAGGGCUGUCAUUCCUCCACGUAGUUAAAG